GGCGGCGUGGCUCAGUGGAAGGAGCACGAGCUUUGGAGUCAUAGGUCAUGGGUUCUAAUCUCAUCUCUGCCA
rnacentral:tRNA from 1 species